rnacentral:rRNA from 1 species
UUUUUUUUUUUUUUUUUUAUUCUCGCUCAGAUUGAACGCUGGCGGCAGGCCUAACACAUGCAAGUCGAGCGGUAGCACAGAGAGCUUGCUCUCGGGUGACGAGCGGCGGACGGGUGAGUAAUGUCUGGGAAACUGCCUGAUGGAGGGGGAUAACUACUGGAAACGGUAGCUAAUACCGCAUAACGUCGCAAGACCAAAGUGGGGGACCUUCGGGCCUCAUGCCAUCAGAUGUGCCCAGAUGGGAUUAGCUAGUAGGUGGGGUAACGGCUCACCUAGGCGACGAUCCCUAGCUGGUCUGAGAGGAUGACCAGCCACACUGGAACUGAGACACGGUCCAGACUCCUACGGGAGGCAGCAGUGGGGAAUAUUGCACAAUGGGCGCAAGCCUGAUGCAGCCAUGCCGCGUGUGUGAAGAAGGCCUUCGGGUUGUAAAGCACUUUCAGCGGGGAGGAAGGCGAUAAGGUUAAUAACCUUGUCGAUUGACGUUACCCGCAGAAGAAGCACCGGCUAACUCCGUGCCAGCAGCCGCGGUAAUACGGAGGGUGCAAGCGUUAAUCGGAAUUACUGGGCGUAAAGCGCACGCAGGCGGUCUGUCAAGUCGGAUGUGAAAUCCCCGGGCUCAACCUGGGAACUGCAUUCGAAACUGGCAGGCUAGAGUCUUGUAGAGGGGGGUAGAAUUCCAGGUGUAGCGGUGAAAUGCGUAGAGAUCUGGAGGAAUACCGGUGGCGAAGGCGGCCCCCUGGACAAAGACUGACGCUCAGGUGCGAAAGCGUGGGGAGCAAACAGGAUUAGAUACCCUGGUAGUCCACGCCGUAAACGAUGUCGAUUUGGAGGUUGUGCCCUUGAGGCGUGGCUUCCGGAGCUAACGCGUUAAAUCGACCGCCUGGGGAGUACGGCCGCAAGGUUAAAACUCAAAUGAAUUGACGGGGGCCCGCACAAGCGGUGGAGCAUGUGGUUUAAUUCGAUGCAACGCGAAGAACCUUACCUGGUCUUGACAUCCACAGAACUUUCCAGAGAUGGAUUGGUGCCUUCGGGAACUGUGAGACAGGUGCUGCAUGGCUGUCGUCAGCUCGUGUUGUGAAAUGUUGGGUUAAGUCCCGCAACGAGCGCAACCCUUAUCCUUUGUUGCCAGCGGUUAGGCCGGGAACUCAAAGGAGACUGCCAGUGAUAAACUGGAGGAAGGUGGGGAUGACGUCAAGUCAUCAUGGCCCUUACGACCAGGGCUACACACGUGCUACAAUGGCAUAUACAAAGAGAAGCGACCUCGCGAGAGCAAGCGGACCUCAUAAAGUAUGUCGUAGUCCGGAUUGGAGUCUGCAACUCGACUCCAUGAAGUCGGAAUCGCUAGUAAUCGUAGAUCAGAAUGCUACGGUGAAUACGUUCCCGGGCCUUGUACACACCGCCCGUCACACCAUGGGGAGUGGGUUGCAAAAGAAGUAGGUAGCUUAACCUUCGGGAGGGCGCUUACCACUUUGUGAUUCAUGACUGGGGUGAAGUCUA